rnacentral:rRNA from 1 species
AGUGAACGCUGGCGGUAGGCCUAACACAUGCAAGUCGAACGGCAGCACAGUAAGAGCUUGCUCUUACGGGUGGCGAGUGGCGGACGGGUGAGGAAUACAUCGGAAUCUACUUUUUCGUGGGGGAUAACGUAGGGAAACUUACGCUAAUACCGCAUACGACCUACGGGUGAUAGCAGGGGAUCUUCGGACCUUGCACGAUUGAAUGAGCCGAUGUCGGAUUAGCUAGUUGGCGGGGUAAAGGCCCACCAAGGCGACGAUCCGUAGCUGGUCUGAGAGGAUGAUCAGCCACACUGGAACUGAGACACGGUCCAGACUCCUACGGGAGGCAGCAGUGGGGAAUAUUGGACAAUGGGCGCAAGCCUGAUCCAGCCAUACCGCGUGGGUGAAGAAGGCCUUCGGGUUGUAAAGCCCUUUUGUUGGGAAAGAAAAGCAGCAGGUUAAUACCCCGCUGUUCUGACGGUACCCAAAGAAUAAGCACCGGCUAACUUCGUG